UCUAAAUCUGGUGCUCUCUUUUUCUCCCAAAAUAUUUGAUGCCCUCCACUCUCUUUUCAGAUUCUUUCAUGCAACCCUCUCCUUCCCCGAAAAUCAAAACCCAAAAACCCAAAACUCAAAUGCCGCUGGUGUCGUCGAGGAAGCUAUGAGCAAUCCAAAAACUCUAAUGCAGCCUCUAAAGCAGGCUUGAAGUAGGAGAAGGAAAAGAGGUCAAUCAUGAGAGAUGUUCUAGAUCGAAGCUUCAGCUGCAAUGCAUCAGAUAUCUUGGUCCAGCAAAAAGGAAGGCUUAUGAAGUUGUGGUUCAAGAUGUGAAACUUAUCUUCAACCAUAGUGGUGAAUCCUUCACACAGCAAGAGGACCUGAAAAUGCGAAGUGGAUAUUUGUCCUUAGUCAAAACUCUUCUUUUUGUUGAAGGGUUCUUAAAAGUAGAAGUUUUCAAAUCAAUGAUUCUAUCAAAAGUUCAUUCUCUUGGGCAUAUAAGCUGCACUUUUGGG